rnacentral:rRNA from 1 species
AUUGAACGCUGGCGGCGUGCCUAACACAUGCAAGUCGAGCGGUAACAGGUGUAGCAAUACAUGCUGACGAGCGGCGAACGGGUGAGUAAUGCUUCGGAAUCUACCCAAUGGUGGGGAAUAACCAGCCGAAAGGUUGGCUAAUACCGCAUACGUCCCACGGGAGAAAGCAGGGGAUCGCAAGACCUUGCGCCAAUGGAUGAGCCGAAGUCGGAUUAGCUAGUUGGAGGGUAACGGCCUACCAAGGCGACGAUCCGUAGCUGGUCUGAGAGGACGACCAGCCACACUGGGACUGAGACACGGGCCCAGACUCCUACGGGGAGGCAGCAGUGGGGAAUAUUGGACAAUGGGGGGAAACCCUGAUCCAGCGACG